rnacentral:rRNA from 1 species
CCAGACAGCCAGGAUGUUGGCUUAGAAGCAGCCAUCAUUUAAAGAAAGCGUAAUAGCUCACUGGUCGAGUCGGCCUGCGCGGAAGAUGUAACGGGGCUAAACCAUGCACCGAAGCUGCGGCAGCGACGCUUAUGCGUUGUUGGGUAGGGGAGCGUUCUGUAAGCCUGUGAAGGUGUACUGUGAGGUAUGCUGGAGGUAUCAGAAGUGCGAAUGCUGACAUAAGUAACGAUAAAGCGGGUGAAAAGCCCGCUCGCCGGAAGACCAAGGGUUCCUGUCCAACGUUAAUCGGGGCAGGGUGAGUCGACCCCUAAGGCGAGGCCGAAAGGCGUAGUCGAUGGGAAACAGGUUAAUAUUCCUGUACUUGGUGUUACUGCGAAGGGGGGACGGAGAAGGCUAUGUUGGCCGGGCGACGGUUGUCCCGGUUUAAGCGUGUAGGCUGGUUUUCCAGGCAAAUCCGGAAAAUCAAGGCUGAGGCGUGAUGACGAGGCACUACGGUGCUGAAGCAACAAAUGCCCUGCUUCCAGGAAAAGCCUCUAAGCAUCAGGUAACAUCAAAUCGUACCCCAAACCGACACAGGUGGUCAGGUAGAGAAUACCAAGGCGCUUGAGAGAACUCGGGUGAAGGAACUAGGCAAAAUGGUGCCGUAACUUCGGGAGAAGGCACGCUGAUAUGUAGGUGAAGUCCCUCGCGGAUGGAGCUGAAAUCAGUCGAAGAUACCAGCUGGCUGCAACUGUUUAUUAAAAACACAGCACUGUGCAAACACGAAAGUGGACGUAUACGGUGUGACGCCUGCCCGGUGCCGGAAGGUUAAUUGAUGGGGUCAGCGCAAGCGAAGCUCUUGAUCGAAGCCCCGGUAAACGGCGGCCGUAACUAUAACGGUCCUAAGGUAGCGAAAUUCCUUGUCGGGUAAGUUCCGACCUGCACGAAUGGCGUAAUGAUGGCCAGGCUGUCUCCACCCGAGACUCAGUGAAAUUGAACUCGCUGUGAAGAUGCAGUGUACCCGCGGCAAGACGGAAAGACCCCGUGAACCUUUACUAUAGCUUGACACUGAACAUUGAGCCUUGAUGUGUAGGAUAGGUGGGAGGCUUUGAAGUGUGGACGCCAGUCUGCAUGGAGCCGACCUUGAAAUACCACCCUUUAAUGUUUGAUGUUCUAACGU